rnacentral:rRNA from 1 species
GGACGGGUGAGUAACACGUGGGAACGUGCCUUUAGGUUCGGAAUAACUCAGGGAAACUUGUGCUAAUACCGAAUGUGCCCUUCGGGGGAAAGAUUUAUCGCCUUUAGAGCGGCCCGCGUCUGAUUAGCUAGUUGGUGAGGUAAAGGCUCACCAAGGCGACGAUCAGUAGCUGGUCUGAGAGGAUGAUCAGCCACAUUGGGACUGAGACACGGCCCAAACUCCUACGGGAGGCAGCAGUGGGGAAUCUUGCGCAAUGGGCGAAAGCCUGACGCAGCCAUGCCGCGUGAAUGAUGAAGGUCUUAGGAUUGUAAAAUUCUUUCACCGGGGACGAUAAUGACGGUACCCGGAGAAGAAGCCCCGGCUAACUUCGUGCCAGCAGCCGCGGUAAUACGAAGGGGGCUAGCGUUGCUCGGAAUUACUGGGCGUAAAGGGAGCGUAGGCGGACAUUUAAGUCAGGGGUGAAAUCCCGGGGCUCAACCUCGGAAUUGCCUUUGAUACUGGGUGUCUUGAGUAUGAGAGAGGUGUGUGGAACUCCGAGUGUAGAGGUGAAAUUCGUAGAUAUUCGGAAGAACACCAGUGGCGAAGGCGACACACUGGCUCAUUACUGACGCUGAGGNUCGAAAGCGUGG